rnacentral:rRNA from 1 species
CCUACGGGCGGCAGCAGUGAGGAAUAUUGGUCAAUGGGCGGGAGCCUGAACCAGCCAAGUCGCGUGAGGGAUGACGGCCCUAUGGGUUGUAAACCUCUUUUGCCGGGGAGCAAAGUGCCGCACGUGUGCGGUUUGGAGAGUACCCGGAGAAAAAGCAUCGGCUAACUCCGUGCCAGCCGCCGCGGUAAUACGGAGGAUGCGAGCGUUAUCCGGAUUUAUUGGGUUUAAAGCGUUCGUAGGCGGCAAGGUAAGUCUGAUGUUAAAGCCCGGGGCUCAACUCCGGUUCGGCAUUGGAUACUAUCUAGCUAGAAUGUGGUAGAGGUAAAGGGAAUUCCUGGUGUAGCGGUGAAAUGCGUAGAUAUCAGGAGGAACAUCGGUGGCGAAAGCGCUUUACUGGACCAUUAUUGACGCUGAGGAACGAAAGCCAGGGGAGCAAAUGGGAUUAGAUACCCUAGUAGUC